CCUACGGGUGGCAGCAGUGGGGAAUAUUGGGCAAUGGACGCAAGUCUGACCCAGCAACGCCGCGUGAAGGAAGAAGGCUUUCGGGUUGUAAACUUCUUUUAAGGGGGAAGAGCAGAAGACGGUACCCCUUGAAUAAGCCACGGCUAACUACGUGCCAGCAGCCGCGGUAAUACGUAGGUGGCAAGCGUUGUCCGGAUUUACUGGGUGUAAAGGGCGUGCAGCCGGGAAGACAAGUCAGAUGUGAAAUCCCGCGGCUCAACUCUGGGACUGCUUUUGAAACUGCCGGGCUGGAGUGCAGGAGAGGUAAGCGGAAUGCGUGGUGUAGCGGUGAAAUGCGUAGAUAGUAGGAGGAACACCAGUGGCGAAGGCGGCUUACUGGACUGUAACUGACGUUGAGGCUCGAAAGCGUGGGGAGCAAACAGGAUUAGAUACCCGUGUAGUC
rnacentral:rRNA from 1 species